AUACGUAGGGUGCAAACGUUGUCCGGAAUUACUGGGUGUAAAGGGUGCACAGGCGGCUUUUUGCGUCAGAGGUAAAAUGCCACUGCUCAACAGUGGAUCUGCCUUUGAUACGGGGAGGCUUGAAUGCAAGAGAGGAUGAUAGAAUUCCUGGUGUAGCGGUGAAAUGCGUAGAUAUCAGGAGGAAUACCAGUGGCGAAGGCGGUCAUCUGGCUUGUCAUUGACGCUUAAGCACGAAAGCGUGGGUAGCGAACAGGAUUAGAUACCCUGGUAGUCCACGCCCUAAACGAUGUAUGCUUGGUGUUGUGGGUUUUGACUCUCAGUGCCGUAGGUAACCCGUUAAGCAUACCACCUGGGGAGUACGAUCGCAAGGUUGAA
rnacentral:rRNA from 1 species